UCUGAUGGUCUCUCUCGGUUUUUUUUUCUCACGCGUUCUCCGAUUUUUCUUCCUCUCUCACGUUCUUCGCUUCCUCUUGCGUUCUCUGGUAGAGGUUUCUUUCUAAAAGGAUCAUAAUCAUUUGGAUAUUGUUAAAGGUAAGUAUCAAAACGAUAAAACCCUAUUUUGACUGCUAUUGUUUUGUUUCCCUUUUUUCUUUAUUAGUUUCUUGUGGGUAUUGUGUAUGGGGUGGGUGGGGAAGAGUCCUCAAAUCUUCUUCUGGUUUGUUUGGAUGGCAUGGGAAUUCGUUUAGGAUUUGGAUUUGGGUGGAUAACUUAAAAAGAGAAGAAUUUGUAUUUGACCCAAAUCCAUCCUGGAAUUCAAGUUCCAAAUCUAUUGAUUUCAAAUCCCUCACUAACCGUGGAAUUUGGGAAAUCCUUCCACAACGCUCGUGUCUUCACUGCCUUAAGCUGCGACAACAAUGUUAAAGCCGCAACCACCAUGGUGUUCAGAUACACAUACACCUCUACUAUGUCAUGGGUGCUGGCAAUGACAAGCAUGGGAAUUAUCAUUGCUUCGAGUUAUUAGAGUGCCAUGAAUAUGUUAGCAUCAACCAUCAGAAGUGUGUUGUACUUGGAGAUUUGAGAAUUGUAACUCUUUUUUAGGGAUUGAAUACCUUACUUUGUAUGUUUUGAUUUUGUCAUAUUGAUGUGUAAAUAUGUAAAUGCAGUAAAACAUGUUGUACCUUUGGUUCUUUAAUUAAUUUCUAAUACAUGAUUACAUUGAUCAAUAUAAUACAAAUAAUGUUAAUAUUCAAUGUAAUACAAAUAUAAUUUGUCCUCUC